rnacentral:lncRNA from 1 species
GGAGGAGGUCGAGGCUUUGUGGCUCCGGAUUGGAGCUGGGCACAGGCUCGGAGUGCUGGCAAAGGGCUGGGAAUUUGUUUUCCCGAAUUUGUGCCACCAGCGACCCCCUCCCCUGCAGGAGAAGAGCCAAUUCCACCCUCUGGAGAAAUCCCGGGAUGCUCCAGGAGCCCUGGAUGGAGUUUUUUUCCAGCGCAAGCUGAAGUUUGUCUCUGUUUUCCCGGGAUUGCUCCUGUUGGGACAAACAUUUGUAACCAAAUUAAAUCCAGCCACAGCAAAAGGAGCCAACAGGAAACCCUUCGGCUCCAGUCACCCCAAAUCCUCGGAGGAUCCGGGGAUGGGAGCCUGGGAAAGCGGCUUUUGGCUGGGAAAAGGGACAACAGGGACUCGCUGCCACCACGAGGGGCGACCUGAGUCCCUGCAGGCUUCCAGCCACAUCCCUUCAUCCCAUCCCAUGGAUGUAUCCCAUCCCAUGGAUUCAGUCUGGGGUCUGUGGAGAACCCAGGAACCAUUUCGGGGGUGUUUUGUUUGGGAUUUGGAUCCCCACGAUCCAACACUUCCAUUUAUAUUUAUUUUUAAUUUUUUUAGGAUUAAGAAGCUCUGCACCAGGGAAGUGUGAAAAUCCAGCUGGGACAGCCAGCAGGAUCAAACCCAUGAUCCAGGCUGGGACUGCAGAUCCUGGCCCUGUGGAGCACAACAUCCCUGGUUUCAUUAUCCCAGCUCUCCACCGGAGGCAUCGCUCGCAGUCCCUCGGGACGAGUUGGACAACGCCGGGAAUGCUCAGGUUGAGGCUCUUCCCACUUUUCCUCCCUCCCUUCUUUCUCCCUGCUCCGCUCCGGCCCCAGAGCGGCUCUGGAGUCUCAGCACUGCCCAAGCCGCACUUCAAAGGCUCCGGGAGCUUCCCCGCGCUUCCCUGGCAGCUCCCGGCAUUAAUCACCCGGAGCCGGCGCGGCCCCGUCACCCCGGAUUGUCCCGGGGCUUCUCCCGGGUCUCUCCCAGCGCAGGGAAUGUGGGUCUGGUCCCCUGGGAUGGGACAUUUCCAUUCCGGGGGGUUUUGGGUCCCCAGACACGGCUGGAGGUGAUGAACAGGGACAGAGCAGAGCUGGGAAUGUUCUCCUGGAGAGGAGAAGGCUCCAGGGGGAGCUCGGAGCCCCUUGCAGGGCCUGGAGGGGCUCCAGGAGAGCUGCAGAGGGACUGGGGACAAGGCCUGGAGGGACAGGACACAGGGAAUGGCUUCAAACUGGAAUAGGGCAGGGCUGGAUGGGACACUGGGGAGGAAUUCCUGGCUAGGAUGGAAUUCCCAGGGAAGCUGUGGCUGCCCCUGGAUCCCUGGCAGUGUCCCAGGCCAGGCUGGAGCACCCUGGGACGGUGGGAGGUGUCCCUGUCCAGGGCAGGGGUGGCACUGGAUGGGCUUUAAGGUCCUUCCAACCCAAACCAUUCUGGAAUGCCUUUAUUCCAGGAGGGCUCCUGGCAACUCCAGGUGAAGCCAGGAGAGAUCCUGCGGGAUUCAGGGAGGAUCCUGGCAGGUGACGCCACGUGGGAUGAUCCUGAUCCCGAGCUGAUUUCCAGCUCCAGAUUCCAAUCUCCUGCACUUCCUCUCUCCCUGGGGGAGAUAAGGAUCCUGGGCACGAAGGGCUGAGCUGCCUGGAAUUGCAUCCGCUCCCACAGCCCGGCCAAGGCGGGAGCGAGGCCUCUCCUGGGGAAUGGGGAAUGGGAGGGGAUGGGGAAGGGGCAGGCGCCGCCUUCCUGUGGGUGUUUUCCAGAGAGAAACCGGGAUGGAGCCGGCACCUGCCAGAGCAGGUGACUCGGGUGUGAGGAAUGCGGACCCGGGAUGUGGGCUGGGAUCAGGGAGGGCAUGGAGGGAGCUGGAAACGCUCCCGAAAGGAGACGGGAAAGGGUCAGUCCCGGCAUCUCUGUCAGAACAGGAUCACCUGGAAGUGGUGCAGGACUCAUCCCCACAGACCCUGGAGCUGCCAGUGGCUCAGCAGGGAUAGCAAAGCUUUUGGAGAGGCUUUGGGAAUUCAGAAGUGGGAAAAGGAUGAAGGGGUUGAGCACAGGGAAAAUCCUCACCUGGGCUGGGAAUGGUGGAGGAGGAAGGGCCAGGCAGGAGUUAUUCCAGGUAAUCCCCAAACCACUUCCUUUAGGGCCAGGAACUGGAGGAAUCCCAGGGCACCCUGGAAUGGUUCCCCUCCUCCCUGAGACUUUCCUGUGGGAAUGUUGGGUUUGCUCUCCUGGACGGGGCAAGGAUCCUCUCUCUGCUUCUCCAGGAUGAAGCUUGGGUCAUGGCAAACAAAAUUCCCUCUGGGAUUGGGGAAAACCACACAUUUGAGCAGAUCCUGCAGGAAUUUGCUGUUGGGAUGGCUCCCAAUCCUGCAGGUCUGGCAAGGGCACAGCGAGGUCCCUUCCCUCUGGAAGCCAAACCAACGCUGUGUGCAGAGCCAGAGGGAUGGGGCCUGCUGGGAAUGACCCCGCUCCUCCCAAAGGGCGUUUGGAGCAGGAAUUUUCCUUUUGGGGCAUCAGGCAAGGCCUGGUCUGGUUUGGGAGGAGAAGAGAUGGGGAUGGGGAGCAGGAGAGGGGAUGGGGAGCAGGGUGCAGAACCCCCCCCAACAUUCCCGGCCCUGCCCCUCCGCUCCGGCCGGUGGAACCGGGACAGCCCCACGUGAGCAGAGCUCACACGUCCCUGUCCCACCGCCUUUGAUCUCCAGCCCUGGCAGGGAAGGUGUCCCGGCAGGAAUCCGGCCCGUCAGGUCCCAUCGGAGCCGGUGGCACUUGGUGACCAAGCCCUGGCAGCUGAGGUGGCCCCGGUUGGAGCCAAGCUCCGCCUCUGCCCCGGGGCUGCGGGGAGGAUCCUGCCCCGGGAGUUCGGGGGGCUCGGCUGCUCCCGAGGAUCGGCACGGCCUGGAGGGGCUGUGCCGGCCGUCCCCGGCCCCGGGGGGCUGUGCAGGCCCUGACCCCGGUCCUGGCAGGGCACAGGAGCUGCUGCUGCUUCUGUGGCCUUUUGGCGCUGGAAAAUAAAGGCGUAAAAAAGAUGGAAAUUUUUUCCAUGGGCAGACAGUGAUGGAACAAGAGAGAAUCUUCCUCCUCCUCCUCCUCCUCCUCCUGCUGCUGCCCAGGGUGGCCCUGGGUGGCCCCGUCCCCGCUGGAGCGGCCGCUCCCGAUUACUCACGGUGGGGGAAA